UCUUAAUCAAUAAAAAAUAUAUUUAAAAAAAGAUGUAAUAGAUAAAAUGAAAUAUGGGACAGUUACUAAUAUUAACACAAAAACCAGUACAAUUACGAAGGCCAUUAUGACCUUGAUCAGGGACAUAUAGCAGGGCUUAUCUACACUCUUCUAACAAUAUAGAAGCUAUAUAAUUCCUGUUUAUGAAUUAUUUUAUGGCCUAGCAGAAAGAAAUGGGAAUGUCAUGUAUUUGUCUUGGAAUUUCACAGGUUUUAAAAAGAAGACUACAACAGGGAGUCACAGAGAAAUAAACUUUGGGAUAAGCAUAACAAAGCAGGAGUAAAAAUGGGAAAGGCCAGAGGAUGAAGGUGGGAAGAUAUUAAGGACCAUCAUAGUUUUGCUAUUAGAAAUAUCUAUUUCAUGUUAUCACAUAGACAUAUAUGGAUUAGACUACGGCCAUACCACCCGAAUGCGCCUGAUUUCGGAAACUAAGCAGGGUCGGACCUGGUUAGUACUGCCCUGGCUAAUUUGGCUCAGUUGGUAGGAAUGACAUCCUGUACACCGAAAGGUUGUUGGUUUGAUUCUGUUCAAGGCACAUCCCCAGUCCCAGUUGGGGUGCAUGUGAUUGGCAACUGAAAGAUGAUAAACGUUUGUUUCGUCCCCGCCCCCCGCCCCAAAAAAAUCAAUGAAAAUGUCCCCAGGUGAAGAUUUUUUUAAAAGAACUUUAGGAAGCCAUUGUUAUAGCUUCAGAGACUUCUACAUGUCAAGAAAGCUAAAGAAGAGGUCAGGCUUUUUCAAGAGCUAGUGCAGAGUAACAUGAGAUCAAGUAGCUCUGAUACUUAGGAGGUACAGUUCUGGAGAAAUACUUUUGCUAUGUACGCACCCUGACUGGGGAUCGAACCCACAACUACUGUAUGAGCCCUGACCGGGAAUUGAACCCGGGACCCUCCAGUGCACAGGACAACGCUCCAACCAACUGCCAGGACUCAACAUAAUACUUCUAUUAUUUCUUAAUCAGUCGGCCCUUGAAUAACAUGGGGACUAGGGACAUCACCCCCAGUGCAGUUGAAAAUUCACAUUACUUUUGACUGAAAGUCUUAUCAAUGACUUAAAUAGUCAAAUAAGACAUAUUUAGUAUGUUAUAUAUAAUAUUUAAUAUACUCUUAUAAUAAGAGAAAAGUUGAGAAAGCAUGUACAUAUAUUUUAUGUAUUCAUGACAUACCUAACUUUUUCAAAAAUUUUUUCAAUAUUUCUAGGCUAUGUGAGUCACCUACAAAUUUCCCAUAUUGUUCAAGGAUCAACUCUAUACCUCCUGGACAGAUUUUCCUGUGGUGGUAACUGUGAAGGGAAUGACAUUCAUUUAGACUGUGAAUCUAUGGUGCUAUCUAGACUUAUAUCUAUAUGUAAUGAAGUCAAUAAAAGGUGUUUGUGAGAGUCAAGUCCAAAGGCCAAAUACUUCUCCCAUCCACGAUCAACAAAGCAUCCAUCUCCAAUAAAAACUUUAACUACAAAACCUCUACAGAGAGGGCUUUUUGCUUAUUUCCUGUAACAGUCGAGAUGUUAUAUUUAUUUUGCUGAGAUGAGUCAAGAAGACUGAUGAACAUGGCCUCUCGCUCAACUCAGAGACUUAGCAUCAGUGCCCUCAGCACAGUAAUCUCAAAGGUACAUGGAAAGAAAAACUAAACUCUCAUAAAAAGCCUUGUGACUAGUCUAGACAAUUUUGAUGUUUUCAGUAAUAUAUUUACCAGU